GCGCCGGUUGUCUAAGGCGAAGAUCGCUGCCCGGAAAGCAGAAAAUGCGGGUUCGAGUCCCGCCUGGCGCA
rfam:Heligmosomoides polygyrus genome assembly, scaffold: HPBE_scaffold0003735